ensembl:lncRNA
CCUUGCCUCUGAUACCCAUGCAUCUGGAAAGAUAGCUGUGCUGCACCAGAAACAAAACGGUGGCAGCAGUUGGUUGGAGAACAAGGUGGGACGGGGCAGUCGAGGCAGCAGGCUGGUAUCACGGGUCCUUGUCUUGCUGAGAAGAGUCUUAGAAGGUCAGGAGCCAGGCAUAAAGCGACAUGAGUUGGAAUGUCUUUGAGUAGAACGGUCUUUUCUUGAGAUGAAAGCUUCCUUCCUCCGUCCCUCCCUUCCUUCCUUUCUUUUUGCCAGAUACUCUGAUGCUCACCUCAUGACAGGACAUCAUCAGGGGAGCCAGCACGUAGUUAAGACCCUGCGGUUCUUGUUCUGGAGUUUACACCGCAUCGGAGGAGACAGGAGGACCCCACCCAGGAGGAGAGAAGGUUAGGAGUGGGGGUCCCGGACCUGUGGGGCAGAAGACAAGAGGAAGCUCUUGCUCCCCAAGCAUCACCCCUAUUUCUAGCCCACGUAUGUAUCCUAUGCCUUCCUUCCAAGUUUCUGUACAGAAGCGAGAGAUGUCUUGGGCCCUCUGGAUGCACUGAGACAUUGGAGAAAACAGAUCCAAGAGGUGAGCUUGAAGAGCAGAAAGGGGCUAGGAGGAGUUUGUCUGGGAAAGAACAGACUUAAUUGGCACUAGAGCGCUCCCCUUAUAGAAGCACAGGGAUCUUUGGCUUUAAGAACUAGGGAAGCCUGAUGGGUAGGGCCAGAUUUUUCCAGGCUGGC